AUUGAACGCUGGCGGAAUGCUUUACACAUGCAAGUCGAACGGCAGCACGGGGGCAACCCUGGUGGCGAGUGGCGUACGGGUGAGUAAUACAUCGGAACGUGCCCGGCCGUGGGGGAUAACGUGGCGAAAGUUACGCUACUACCGCAUACGAUCUGGGGAUGAAAGCGGGGGACCUUCGGGCCUCGCGCGAUCGGAGCGUCCGAUGUCAGAUUAGGUAGUUGGGGGGGUAAAGGCCUACCAAGCCGACGAUCUGUAGCUGGUCUGAGAGGACGACCAGCCACACUGGGACUGAGACACGGCCCAGACUCCUGCGGGAGGCAGCAGUGGGGAAUUUUGGACAAUGGGGGCAAGCCUGAUCCAGCCAUUCCGCGUGAAGGACGAAGGCCUUCGGGUUGUAAAGUGCUGUUGUAUGGAACGAAAAGGCGCUGGCUAAUACCUGGGGCUCAUGACGGUACCGUAAGAAUAAGCACCGGCUAACUACGUG
rnacentral:rRNA from 1 species